AACGCGAAGAACCUUACCUGGGCUCGAAAUGUAGUGGACCGGGGUAGAAAUAUCCCUUCCUAGCAAUAGGCUGCUAUAUAGGUGCUGCAUGGCUGUCGUCAGCUCGUGUCGUGAGAUGUUGGGUUAAGUCCCGCAACGAGCGCAACCCUUAUUACCAGUUGCCAUCAUUUAGUUGGGCACUCUGGUGAGACCGCCUCGGAUAACGGGGAGGAAGGUGGGGAUGACGUCAAGUCCUCAUGGCCUUUAUGUCCAGGGCUACACACGUGCUACAAUGGCCGGUACAAACCGUCGCAAACCCGUGAGGGGGAGCUAAUCGGAGAAAGCCGGCCUCAGUUCGGAUUGGAGUCUGCAACUCGACUCCAUGAAGCUGGAAUCGCUAGUAAUCGCAGAUCAGAACGCUGCGGUGAAUACGUUCCCGGGCCUUGUACACACCGGAGUA
rnacentral:rRNA from 1 species